GGGGAUAUAGCUCAGUUGGUAGAGUGCUUGCCUCAAAUGCACAUGGCCCUGGGCUCAAUCCCCAGCACCA
rnacentral:tRNA from 1 species